GCCUGAGCGCUAAGCACUGCCGGGGCUGUGUUGGGGUUUGGUGCGGGAGGUUCCUGUGCUGGAAAUAAGCCUGGAAUCCCGGGGGGGUGCUGGGAAUGGCCACUUCUCACAUGCCCUCUGCGCCCUCAGGCCGCGCUCUCCCAACCAGACCGACCGUCUCCCCAAAGAAUCAUGAGCUGAAGCAACUUCGGGUUAAGAUAGCUGCAAGGGAGCCUUGCUGUGGGAUUGAACAGAUAAGAGGUGACCUUAGGACUGUGGAGGUGUGGCAUCGACUCCGAGCCGAGCUUUGUUUCUGGCUGAGUUUUAGAUUCAGGCAGCGUGUUUAUCUGGCUUUUUGCUUUAUGGUGUGAGCCUGACACCUGCGCCUUCCCCUCCAACAGACCCAGCAGCUCACUCUGCAGCUCUGGGUUUGUGGAGAGGAGUCCCAGUCCAGCCUGCAGAGAGAUGCAUGAAGCUGAAUACACAUGUGGAGUGUUAAGCUCGACUGAAGUAAAGCUCUUAAAACCUGCUAUCUGCUCAAGAAUUUUUUGUUUUGUACCAGUCUCUUUG